rnacentral:rRNA from 1 species
UACGUAGGGUGCAAGCGUUAAUCGGAAUUACUGGGCGUAAAGCGUGCGCAGGCGGCUUUGCAAGACAGAUGUGAAAUCCCCGGGCUCAACCUGGGAACUGCAUUUGUGACUGCAAAGCUAGAGUACGGCAGAGGGGGAUGGAAUUCCGCGUGUAGCAGUGAAAUGUGUAGAUAUGCGGAGGAACACCGAUGGCGAAGGCAAUCCCCUGGGCCUGUACUGACGCUCAUGCACGAAAGCGUGGGGAGCAAACAGG